GUGAGGAAUAUUGGGCAAUGGGCGCAAGCCUGACCCAGCCACGCCGCGUGUGUGAUGAAGGCCUUCGGGUCGUAAAGCACUGUGGGGAGAGACGAAACAGCGCAUCAGGAAAUGGGUGCGCCUUGACGGUACCUCCUUAGCAAGCACCGGCUAACUCUGUGCCAGCAGCCGCGGUAAUACAGAGGGUGCAAACGUUGCUCGGAUUUACUGGGCGUAAAGCGCGUGUAGGCGGACUCGCAAGUCGGUUGUGAAAUCCCUGGGCUCAACCUAGGAACUGCAUCCGAAACUGCUUGUCUUGAGUAAUGGAGAGGGUGGCGGAAUUCCCGGUGUAGAGGUGAAAUUCGUAGAUAUCGGGAGGAACAUCAGUGGCGAAGGCGGCCACCUGGACAUUUACUGACGCUGAGACGCGAAAGCGUGGGGAGCAAACAGGAUUAGAAACCCGGGUAGUCC
rnacentral:rRNA from 1 species